rnacentral:rRNA from 1 species
UACGUAGGCGGAAAAUUAAGUCAGUAGUGAAAUCCUGCAGCUUAACUGUAGAACUGUUAUUGAUACUGGUUUUCUUGAAUAUAGUUGAGGUAGGCGGAAUGUGUAAUGUAGCGGUGAAAUGCUUAGAUAUUACACAGAACACCGGUUGCGAAGGCAGCUUACUAAGCUAUGAUUGACGCUGAGGUACGAAAGCGUGGGGAGCGAACAGGAUUAGAUACCCUGGUAGUCC